ensembl:snRNA U6 U6 spliceosomal RNA
GUGCUUGCUUUGGUAGCACAUAUACUAAAAUUGGAACGAUACAGAGAAGAUUAGCACGGCAGUGCUCAAGGAUGACACACAAAUUUGUGAAGUGUUCCAUAUCUUU